rnacentral:rRNA from 1 species
UACGGGGGGAGCAAGCGUUGUUCGGAUUUACUGGGCGUAAAGGGCGCGUAGGCGGCCACCGCAAGUCGGUUGUGAAAUCUCUGGGCUUAACCCAGAAAGGUCAACCGAUACUGCGGGGCUAGAGUGCAGAAGGGGCAACUGGAAUUCUCGGUGUAGCGGUGGAAAUGCGUAGAUAUCGAGAGGAACACCUGCGGCGAAGGCGGGUUGCUGGGCUGACACUGACGCUGAAGCGCGAAAGCUAGGGGAGCGAACGGG